UGUGUGAAAUGAACUGUAUUUUUUCAGGUUUUUUUUUUAAUUUAGCCGCGGGAUGCUUCAAACAACUACAACAUUGGAGAAAUUCAGAGCUUGGAUUGGAAUGUGGAAAUAAUAAAUCUUGUCGAACAAUUUUCAUAAAAUAAAUCUUAAUCGAAAGAAACCUUAACACUGUUUCGGUCCUUUGUGUGCAUAAAACAGGUUGUGAAAGAUAUUACUGAUCGACAGGAAAACUAUUACUCUUCCAAAUCCAAUCCAAAACACUUCUGAGAACACCACCCCAAGUCUUUGGCUAGGCUUCGAGUCGUCGUUAGCAACACUCAACAGUGGAAACAUCGUUUACGUUAAAUGUUACAUCGGCUUACUGACAUCGAGUUUAACCCAAAUUCAUUGAAUCCUGUGGGCAGAUAAGCUGUUGCUUUAAUUAAAUUCUCUAUAUUAGAUAAAUUAUAUGAGUUCAUUGUAUUUUGACAGAUACUUUCGUAUUUACCGAUUGACUUAUGUUAUAGUCCUAUUUUGUUUUAAGUAGGAAUUAGUUUUUGUUGUUUGUGUUAUCAAUAAAUGUACUACGAAAAUAUUG